GAUGAAGAACGUAGUGAAAUGCGAUACGUAAUGUGAAUUGCAGAAUUCAGUGAAUCAUCGAAUCUUUGAACGCACAUUGCGCCCGCCAGCACUCUGGCGGGCAUGCCUGUUCGAGCGUCAUUUCAACCAUCAAGCCCCAGGCUUGCGUUGGAGCCCUGCGGCUGCCGCAACCUCCUAAAAGCAGUGGCGGGCUCGCUAUCACACCGAGUGCAGUAGAUUACUCUUCGCUCAGGGCGUGCAGCGGGUUCCGGCCGUGAAACCCCCUACUUUUAAAGGUUGACCUCGGAUCAGGUAGGAAUACCCGCUGAACUUAAGCAUAUCAAUAAGCGGAGGA
rnacentral:misc_RNA from 1 species